AUUGAACGCUGGCGGCAGGCCUAACACAUGCAAGUCGAACGGCAGCGGGGGAUAGCUUGCUAUCCUGCCGGCGAGUGGCGGACGGGUGAGUAAUGCAUGGGGAGCUGCCCAGUCGAGCGGGAUAACAACUGGAAACGGUUGCUAAUACCGCAUACGCCCUAAGGGGGAAAGGUGGGGAACUUCGGUCCUACCGCGGUUGGAUGCGCCCAUGUGGGAUUAGCUAGUUGGUGAGGUAACGGCUCACCAAGGCGACGAUCUCUAGCUGGUCUGAGAGGAUGACCAGCCACACUGGAACUGAGACACGGUCCAGACUCCUACGGGAGGCAGCAGUGGGGAAUAUUGCACAAUGGGGGAAACCCUGAUGCAGCCAUGCCGCGUGUGUGAAGAAGGCCUUCGGGUUGUAAAGCACUUUCAGUCAGGAGGAAGGUGGUAAGGCUAAUAUCCUUAUCAAUUGACGUUACUGACAGAAGAAGCACCGGCUAACUCCGUGCCAGCCGCCGCCGUAA
rnacentral:rRNA from 1 species